rnacentral:pre_miRNA from 1 species
AUGCUACUCCCUCCAUUCUGAAUUACUUGUCGCAGGUAUGGAUGUAUCUAGAUGUAUUUUAGUUUUAGAUACAUCCAUUUUUGUGACAAGUAAUUUGGAACGGAGGGAGUACAAA